rnacentral:rRNA from 1 species
CCCUGGCUCAGGACGAACGCGGCGGCGUGCCUAAUACAUGCAAGUCGAGCGGAAUGAUGAAGAAGCUUGCUUCUUCUGAUUUUAGCGGCGGACGGGUGAGUAACACGUGGGCAACCUACCUUGUAGAUUGGGAUAACUCCGGGAAACCGGGGCUAAUACCGAAUAAUCCAUUUUGCUUCAUGGCAAGAUGUUGAAAGGCGGCUUCGGCUGUCACUACGAGAUGGGCCCGCGGCGUAUUAGCUAGUUGGUAGGGUAAYGGCCUACCAAGGCGACGAUACGUAGCCGACCUGAGAGGGUGAUCGGCCACACUGGGACUGAGACACGGCCCAGACUCCUACGGGAGGCAGCAGUAGGGAAUCUUCCACAAUGGACGAAAGUCUGAUGGAGCAACGCCGCGUGAGUGAAGAAGGUUUUCGGAUCGUAAAACUCUGUUGUAAGGGAAGAACACGUACGAGAGUAACUGCUCGUACCUUGACCGGUACCUUAUUAGAAAGCCACGGCUAACU